UGGGAAUAUUGGGCAAUGGCGAAGCCUGACCCAGCAACGCCGCGUGAAGGAAGAAGGUCUUCGGAUUGUAAACUUUUGUCUUAUGGGACGAUAAUGACGGUACCAUAGGAGGAAGCCACGACUAACUACGUGCCAGCAGUCGCGGUAAUACGUAGGUGGCGAGCGUUAUCCGGAAUUAUUGGGUGUAAAGGGUGCGUAGGCGGGACGUAAAGUCAGAUGUGAAAUGCGGAGGCUCAACCUCCGAACUGCAUUUGAAACUUACGUUCUUGAGUGGAGUAGAGGCAAGCGG
rnacentral:rRNA from 1 species